GACGAACGCUGGCGGCGUGCCUAAUACAUGCAAGUAGAACGCUGAAGGAGGAGCUUGCUUCUCUGGAUGAGUUGCGAACGGGUGAGUAACGCGUAGGUAACCUGCCUGGUAGCGGGGGAUAACUAUUGGAAACGAUAGCUAAUACCGCAUAAGAGUAGAUGUCGCAUGACAUUUGCUUAAAAGGUGCAAUUGCAUCACUACCAGAUGGACCUGCGUUGUAUUAGCUAAUUGGUGAGGUAACGGCUCACCAAGGCAACGAUACAUAGCCGACCUGAGAGGGUGAUCGGCCACACUGGGACUGAGACACGGCCCAGACUCCUACGGGAGGCAGCAGUAGGGAAUCUUCGGCAAUGGACGGAAGUCUGACUGAGCAACGCCGCGUGAGUGAAGAAGGUUUUCGGAUCGUAAAGCUCUGUUGUAAGAGAAGAACGAGUGUGAGAGUGGAAAGUUCACACUGUGACGGUAUCUUACCAGAAAGGGACGGCUAACUACGU
rnacentral:rRNA from 1 species